GAUGAGCGCUGACAGAAUGCUUAACACAUGCAAGUCUACUUGAAGCAGUCUUCGGACUGUGGAGGGUGGCGGACGGGUGAGUAACGCGUAAAGAACUUGCCUUGUAGUCUGGGACAACAUUUGGAAACGAAUGCUAAUACCGGAUAUUAUGAAAUCGUUGCAUGACAAUAUCAUGAAAGCUAUAUGCGCUACAAGAGAGCUUUGCGUCCCAUUAGCUAGUUGGAGAGGUAACGGCUCACCAAGGCGAAUGAUGGGUAGCCGGAUUGAGAGGUUGAACGGCCACACUGGAACUGAGACACGGUCCAG
rnacentral:rRNA from 1 species